rnacentral:rRNA from 1 species
GACGAACGCUGGCGGCGUGCUUAACACAUGCAAGUCGAACGGAAAGGCCCUGCUUUUGUGGGGUGCUCGAGUGGCGAACGGGUGAGUAACACGUGAGUAACCUGCCCUUGACUUUGGGAUAACUUCAGGAAACUGGGGCUAAUACCGGAUAGGAGCUCCUGCUGCAUGGUGGGGGUUGGAAAGUUUCGGCGGUUGGGGAUGGACUCGCGGCUUAUCAGCUUGUUGGUGGGGUAGUGGCUUACCAAGGCUUUGACGGGUAGCCGGCCUGAGAGGGUGACCGGCCACAUUGGGACUGAGAUACGGCCCAGACUCCUACGGGAGGCAGAAGUGGGGAAUAUUGCACAAUGGGCGGAAGCCUGAUGCAGCAACGCAGCGUGCGGGAUGACGGCCUUCGGGUUGUAAACCGCUUUCGCCUGUGACGAAGCGUGAGUGACGGUAAUGGGUAAAGAAGCACCGGCUAACUACGUG